rnacentral:rRNA from 1 species
UACAGAGGGUGCAAGCGUUGUUCGGAAUUAUUGGGCGUAAAGAGCGUGUAGGCGGUCCGGUAAGUCCGCUGUGAAAGUCCAGGGCUCAACCCUGGAAUGCCGGUGGAUACUGCCGGGCUAGAGUCCGGAAGAGGCGAGUGGAAUUCCUGGUGUAGCGGUGAAAUGCGCAGAUAUCAGGAGGAACACCGAUGGCGAAGGCAGCUCGCUGGGACGGUACUGACGCUGAGACGCGAAAGCGUGGGGAGCAAACAGG